ACAAGAAGGGCCGGAAGGAGGAUCUGGGGAACUACAGGCCUGUCAGUCUGACCUCGGUGCUGGGGAAGUUUAUGGAGCAGGUCAUCUUGAGCGCCAUCACAUGGCACGUACAGGACAACCAGAUGACUCUUGCGUAAUACAAAUGUUUUAAAAACUUAACUCUUACAUAAAUCAAUUAUUUCUGACUGUUUGGACUGACAAUGAAUUAUUUCUGACUGUGUGGACUUGUGCAAAGCAUUUGACACUGUCCCGCAUGGCAUCCUUGUCUCUAAA